rnacentral:rRNA from 1 species
UACAGAGGUCCCAAGCGUUGUUCGGAUUCAUUGGGCGUAAAGGGUGCGUAGGCGGCGCGGUAAGUCGGAUGUGAAAUCUCGGAGCUUAACUUCGAAACUGCAUUCGAUACUGCCGUGCUUGAGGACUGGAGAGGAGACUGGAAUUUACGGUGUAGCGGUGAAAUGCGUAGAUAUCGUAAGGAAGACCAGUGGCGGAAGGCGGGUCUCUGGACAGUUCCUGACGCUGAGGCACGAAGGUCAGGGGAGCAAACGGG